rnacentral:rRNA from 1 species
CCUACGGGCGGCAGCAGUGAGGAAUAUUGGUCAAUGGACGAGAGUCUGAACCAGCCAAGUAGCGUGAAGGAUGACUGCCCUAUGGGUUGUAAACUUCUUUUAUAUGGGAAUAAAAUGUUCCACGUGUGGGAUUUUGUAUGUACCCUAUGAAUAAGGCACGGCUAACUCCGUGCCAGCAGCCGCGGUAAUACGGAGGAUCCGAGCGUUAUCCGGAUUUAUUGGGUUUAAAGGGAGCGUAGGUGGAUGUUUAAGUCAGUUGUGAAAGUUUGCGGCUCAACCGUAAAAUUGCAGUUGAAACUGGCAGUCUUGAGUACAGUAGAGGUGGGCGGAAUUCGUGGUGUAGCGGUGAAAUGCUUAGAUAUCACGAAGAACUCCGAUUGCGAAGGCAGUUCACUGGACUGCAACUGACACUGAGGCUCGAAAGUGUGGGUAUCAAACAGGAUUAGAUACCCCAGUAGUC